GAAGGUGCCUGCCGCGCAUGCGCAGAGAGGGCAGCGGCAUCUCCGGGCGGUGAGGUUUGCGUGGGUCCUGCUUCCUCUGGCGGGGGGCUGCGAUUUGCUGUCGCGCGCCCCUGACACCCGCGCUGGGGGCGAUCUGGUUCCCACACGGCAGCGGGGCCGGCCCGGGAGCACGUGAGGAGGCGGCGCUGACCCUCGGGCAGGUCCUCUGCUGCAGUCAGCCUGGUGGCCCGGCGGAGGCAGAGGCAGGUGGAUCCUUACGAUUUUGAGGGCCGCCUUGGUUACCUAGUGAGGUGGUGUCUUAAAAAAAAAAAAAGGUUGAAAGAAAAACUUAAACGUGGUUCAAUGGAUCACGUGUUGUGUUUUGUGACUGACAUGUCUGAUUCCAGAAUCAGUAAAAAGCCAGUUGCCAGCUUAGACUCAUGAUGACUUUGUCCACUGGCCUGCGUAGCUGACAUUUCUCUCCUGCCAUGCCUGGUACCUCACAGGUCCGUGAGUGACUGUGGGUUGAUUCCUAGCCCUGGAGGAUGACGAAGCCGCAGCCCCACACCCUUCCCAGCCCGUGUUUGAUUCCCUCCAUUCUUUACCUUGAAAAUACGCAGCAGUAACGAUCUAGUAUGAGUGAGUUUCUAUAAGGUCCGUCUGGUUUCCCAAGACCAGAGAGACCGUUUAUAAACUCCUAGUGAACCGACGUGUAUUCGGAUGGAGUUCUCCCGAAGGUGUAUAUGGCUUGGUUGUUUUGUAUUUAUUCCACGAAAACUGAAAUGGGAAAAAUCCAACUCCGUGCAGUGAGGCACAUCUGUAAUCCCAGAGGCCGAGGCAGAAGGAUCUUAAAUUCAAAAUAGCCUAGAACCUAGCCAGGCUGCGUCUGAAGAUAUAAGUUGGAAAGGGCUGGGAGUGGGGCAGCGUGCGCAGCCCCACUGGCUUAGCAGGCGCAAUGAACGCUCUGGGUUCUGUCUCCGACACCCGAGAGGAAGCAAACAGUCCGCUAAGCAUUUCUAUGUCCUUCACGUCUGGGCAGACACGGAGCUGGUGCUGCUCUUUUGAGAGACUGUGGCCUGCAAGCUUCUCCCUUUUCCGGAUUGCAUGAUAAAUAUUGACUGGUGAGUGCUUUCUUGGCUGAAGCGUUACCUGGUAGGAGGUCAGCUUUUUUUCUUCCGCAGCAUGAUGUUCCAAAGGCAAGAAGAGGGCAGACGUCGAUAUCCGGCUCAUUUUACUCCCGUGGGGCUUUGUCAAAUCACCCCAGACCUGCAUUCAUUGUUACAAGAUUGUGGCAGUGUGGGGCCGGGCUCCUGUGUGCCUGUCUCUGUUCUGGGUUAUGGUCUCACUAGGUAGCCCAGGCUGGCCUCGAACUCACAGAUAUCUUCCUGUCUUGACCUCCCAAGUGCUGAUAUUACAAGUAUGCACCACCAUGCCCAGCUCUUCUCUGUGUUUUGAAAUACUGCAGAUGUUUUAUUUCUGCCCCAAACUUCUCAUCACCACCUGAAUCAAAAGCCACAUGGUGGUGACACCUGUGAUCUCAACAGUCUGGAAGGCUGAGGCAGGAAGACUGCAAAUGCAAGGCCCAGACUAGCAUCUAGCAAGGAGACUGUUGCAUUAUAAAAAAGGGCUGGGGAUGUAGCUCAGAGCAAAGGCCUUGCGUCCAAUCCCCAGUUCUUCAGAAAACGAAACACCAGACCACAACAGCCCCCUGGCAGCAGCUGCAGUCUCCGAUGGCGAGGUGCCACUUCUGCAUUAAGAGCUGCCCAUUUACAUCAGGGACACGUGGGUUAUAUUUUGUUUAUUUUGGUUUAUAUACAAAUAUAAAUUAGGCCUUCGUGGACACAGCCAACAGAAUCUCACGGAGGAGGUGUGAACCAUCCCACGUGGGCACAAGGGGACUGCUGAGUGCAAGCCAAGCGUGGUGGCUGCUGUGACCCAGGAACUUCCUGUAUCGCAAGUUCCCACGAAACCCUCCACCCUGUGGGCAGCGGGUGGGGCCCUGGAGACGCCCCAUCCCCCACAGGAUUCUGCCACACUCAAGAUGGAGGGCUGCGGUUUGGCUGUACGCCGCGGGGCUGCCGGCUCGGCCCGCCCCUGCCUCUCUGUGAUUGGCUAGGCUUUGUUGUCGGGGCGGCUAUUGGUCUGCAGCCCAGUCAGUUGCGGUACCAGCCCUGCUCGCCUGAAGAAGUAAACAAACACUGAUUGCUCAAGAGCCGCGGCAGGCUGUUUUCGGAAGGACGCGGCCCGUGGGUGACAGCGGCUCACGUGGCCUCGCGGGCAGCCGGCGCGGCUGUGGACCGCGGCGCCCUCCCGGCGUUAGGGCGCCGCGCCGCGGAGCAGCGUGGGCUUCUCCCAAGCCUCGGGUGCGAGCCCCUUGCCAGCCGGGAAAUCACUUCUGCGCCCUGGCGCAGUCGGGGACCAAGCCGCUGAUGUCCAAGUCCAGGAAAUGCCCUUGCAGUGACUUUUUUUUUCUGGCAAACAAUUGAAAAAAUGUACCGUGUCGUACAUGGUAUUGAUUUCCUUAUAAGUGAUCAUUUCUAGGAGUUAACUUUUGCAGCCAGGUGCGGGGGGGGGGUGCACUGCUGAACGUCCAGCACCCUGGGAGGCUGAGGCAGUAGGAUCCUGAGUGUACCCUGCCUAUUCGUUGCUUGUAAAGGUGUAGUUCCUUUUUAGGGGACGCAUCUGAAGAGGGCUCCGUUUAUAACAGCUGCGUGCUGGCGCCAGCAAAGGCUUCUCCAGCGUCUUUCCUUCCACAUGAUGCCCACCUUUCCCCCACUCGUCUUCGGGCCAUUCACACGUGUACGCCUUUCCACGCCGUCACUACCAGUUUCUGUCCAAAUAAAUCCUGUACUUGUUAAGGUAUUUAAAAAUGGUUUUAUUAAAGAAAAAUCUUUAAAAAUAAAACAGAUGAUGCAAAA